ACUAGCCCAAGGCGGAGGCAAGCCCGUCCCCGUUGAAUGCCAUCUCUGAAGACAUUUACACCAAUGGCUCAGCCCUGCUGGGCAGCCCGGCCCACGCAAAUGGGCGGGAAGUCCGGAAAAUGAGGUUCAUCCAGUUUGAGAAGGUCACAGAAGAGCCCAUGGGCAUCACAUUGAAGCUGAACGAGAAGCAGAGCUGCAUGGUGGCCAGAAUCCUCCAUGGAGGCAUGAUUCACAGGCAAGG